GGGUCAGUAGGUUGGUCGUGCCACCGGUACGUACUGGUCUCACUGAUUCCUCCUUCCUGAAGAGCCGUAAUGCCAUUAAUUCGGUGUUGCGGGGAAACAGGACUGUUACUUUGAAAAAAUUAGAGUGUUUAAAGCAAGCUAACGCUUGAAUACAUUAGCAUGGAAUAAUGAAAUAGGACGAUCGAUCCUAUUUUGUUGGUUUCUAGGAUUGACGUA
rnacentral:rRNA from 1 species